UACAGAGGUCUCAAGCCGUUUGUUCGGAUUCAUUGGGGCGUAAAGGGUGCGUAGGCGGCGCGGUAAGUCGGGUGUGAAAUCUCGGGCUUAACUCCGAAACUGCAUUCGAUACUGCGCGGCUAGAGUGCUGGAGGGGAGACUGGAAUUUACGGUGUAGCAGUGAAAUGCGCAGAUAUCAGGAGGAACACCGGUGGGCGAAGGCGGGUCUCUGGGCCGUAACUGACGCUGGAGGAGCGAAAGCGUGGGGAGCAAACAGG
rnacentral:rRNA from 1 species